rnacentral:rRNA from 1 species
CCUACGGGCGGCAGCAGUGAGGAAUAUUGGUCAAUGGCCGGAAGUCUGAACCAGCCAAGCCGCGUGAAGGACGAAGGUGCCAAGCAUUGUAAACUUCUUUUGUCAAGGGACAAAAUCAGGCUCGAGAGCCUGACCGAGGGUACCUGAAGAAAAAGCAUCGGCUAACUCCGUGCCAGCAGCCGCGGUAAUACGGAGGAUGCGAGCGUUAUCCGGAUUUAUUGGGUUUAAAGGGUGCGUAGGCGGGCUGUUAAGUCAGCGGUAAAAGCCCGGGGCUCAACCCCGGAGAGCCGUUGAAACUGGCUGUCUUGAGAUGUCGAGAGGUAUGCGGAAUGCGCAGUGUAGCGGUGAAAUGCUUAGAUAUUGCGCAGAACUCCGAUUGCGAAGGCAGCAUACCGGCGGCGAUCUGACGCUGAGGCACGAAAGCGUGGGUAUCGAACAGGAUUAGAUACCCCAGUAGUC